ACAUUGCUGAAGAGUUCCAUAGUAGGACGAAACGACCGUCCAAUGC
rfam:Schistosoma margrebowiei strain Zambia genome assembly, scaffold: SMRZ_scaffold0001786